UAGCCAUAUCCUGUAGAAACUACCAGUUCCUGUAUGAACACCAAAAUUAAGCAAUAUCAAGUCUGAUCAGUACCUACAUGGGUGACUAUUUGGGAAUACCAGGUGCUGCAAU